GCUGGCGUAUUUUAAUGGCAGAAUACUCCCUUGUGGCGGGAUUGAUCUCGGUUCGAUUCCGAGCGCCAGCA